rnacentral:rRNA from 1 species
UACGUAGGGGGCGAGCGUUGUACGGAAUCAUUGGGCGUAAAGCGCGUGUAGGCGGCCCGGUAAGUCCGCUGUGAAAGUCCAGGGCUCAACCCUGGGAUGCCGGUGGAUACUGUCGGGCUCGAGUCCGGAAGAGGCGAGUGGAAUUCCUGGUGUAGCGGUGAAAUGCGUAGAUAUUGGGAAGAACACCGGUGGCGAAGGCGGCGACCUGGUCCUUGACUGACGCUGAGGCGCGAAAGCGUGGGGAGCAAACAGG